CCUACGGGAGGCUGCAGUGGGGAAUAUUGGACAAUGGGGGGAACCCUGAUCCAGCGACGCCGCGUGAGUGAAGAAGUAUUUCGGUAUGUAAAGCUCUAUCAGCAGGGAAGAAAGAAAUGACGGUACCUGACUAAGAAGCCCCGGCUAACUACGUGCCAGCAGCCGCGGUAAUACGUAGGGGGCAAGCGUUAUCCGGAUUUACUGGGUGUAAAGGGAGCGUAGACGGCGAUGCAAGUCUGAAGUGAAAGGCGGGGGCCCAACCCCCGGACUGCUUUGGAAACUGGAUGGCUGGAGUGCUGGAGAGGUAAGUGGAAUUCCUAGUGUAGCGGUGAAAUGCGUAGAUAUUAGGAGGAACACCAGUGGCGAAGGCGGCCUGCUGGACUGCAACUGACGUUGAGGCCCGAAAGCGUGGGGAGCAAACAGGAUUAGAUACCCUUGUAGUC
rnacentral:rRNA from 1 species